UCGGGAAUUUUGCGCAAUGGACGAAAGUCUGACGCAGCAACGCCGCGUGAGGGAUGAAGGCCUUCGGGUUGUAAACCUCUUUUCUCAGGGACGAUAAUGACGGUACCUGAGGAAUAAGUCACGGCUAACUACGUGCCAGCAGCCGCGGUAAUACGUAGGUGGCUAGCGUUGUCCGGAUUUACUGGGCGUAAAGAGCGCGCAGGCGGUCGUUCAAGUCGAGUGUGAAAGCCCCCGGCUCAACUGGGGAGGGUCACUCGAUACUGAUCGACUUGAAGGCGGGAGAGGGAAGCGGAAUUCCCGGUGUAGUGGUGAAAUGCGUAGAUAUCGGGAGGAACACCAGUGGCGAAGGCGGCUUUCUGGCCCGUUCUUGACGCUGAGGCGCGAAAGCUAGGGUAGCAAAC
rnacentral:rRNA from 1 species